GAUGAACGCUGGCGGCGUGCCUAACACAUGCAAGUCGAGCGAACAGACGAGGAGUUUGUUCCUUUGACGUUAGCGGCGGACGGGUGAGUAACACGUGGAUAACCCACCUAUAAGACUGGGAUAACCUCGGGAAACCGGCGCUAACACCGGACAAUAUAUUCAACCGCAUGGUUCAUUUGUGAAGGACGUUUUUGUUGUCACUUAUAGAUGGAUCUCCGCUGCUUUAGCUAGUUGGUAAGGUAACGGCUUACCAAGGCAACUAUGCGUAGCCGACCUGGGGGAGGGAUAGGCCACACUAGAACUGGGACACGGUCCAGAGUCCUACGAGAGGCAGCAGUAGGGAAUCUUCCGCAAUGGGCGAGAGCCUGGCGGAGCGACGCCGAGUGUGUGAUGACGGUCUUGGGUUCGUGAAGCUCUGUUAUUGGGUGAAAACAACUGUGUAAGUAGAUGUACACGUCUUGACGGUACCUGCACAGGAAGCCACGGCUAACUACGUG
rnacentral:rRNA from 1 species